rnacentral:lncRNA from 1 species
UUCGGUUAGAGCCGAUUAACGGUAUGUUUCAUCUAAGCACAUUGGAAUUCCAUGAACUCUCCUCAAUGCACGGUUGACACAUUAUGCCGGGUCAUAGUCUACGGUCUAGACAUACAUUAGCUUCUUCGUUCGGUCCUUCAACUUUCAUGUCUUAGAAUGUGAGCUUCAAUCUUGUAGAACUAUGAUACACCUUGUUAGAAAUUUC